AUUGAACGCUGGUGGCAGGCCUAACACAUGCAAGUCGAACGAGUGGCGGACGGGUGAGUAAUGUCUGGGAAACUGCCCGAUGGAGGGGGAUAACUACUGGAAACGGUAGCUAAUACCGCAUACCAUCGGAUGUGCCCCGAUGGGAUUAGCUAGUAGGUGGGGUAACGGCUCACCUAGUCGACGAUCCCUACCUGGUCUGAGAGGAUGACCACGCACUCUGGAACGGGAACACUGUCCAGCCGCCUAAGGGAGGCAGCAGUGGGGAAUAUUGUAAAAUGGGCGCAAGCCGGGUGCAGCCAUGCCGCGUGUAUGAAGAAGGCCUUCGGGUUGUAAAGUACUUUCAGCGAGUAGGCGUUACUCGCAGAAGAAGCACCGGCUAACUCCGUGCCAGCAGCCGCGGUAAUUC
rnacentral:rRNA from 1 species